rnacentral:piRNA from 1 species
UGGACCAUGACUGCCUUAACACUUAACA